CAGAAAGUAGCUUCCACAGCCCUCCUUGACCUCACGGGAGCCCGGUGUGAGAGGCUGCGGGGCCGCCAUGGCAGGAAACACACAUUCUCCUUAAGGCUGACCAGUGGGGCAGAGAUCCUGUUUGCGGCACCGUCCGAAGAGCAGGCUGAGAGCUGGUGGCGAGCCCUGGGCAGCACUGCAGCCGAGUCUGAGCCCAGAACUCAAAGCCAAACCUGUCAGCUCUCCGAAUGGGUGCACGACCAAGGAUGCCCGGCCUGGAUGUCUACUCAGGUCUGAUCCCUGAGGUGAACCCCAAUGCAACACCAAACUUCAGGGGCACAAGCGAGGACACAUCUAAGGGACCAGAAUGAGACUCGGCUACAGGCAAAAGGGCUCCUUCCCGUGGCUGCUUCAACCCAGUUCCCCAGGCCCAGCUUCUGGAAUAGACAGUUCCUUCUGGUUAGAUGGGUCCUACCAUGUGGCAGGAAACAGCCAUUGCCUGGCCUCCCCCUGCAUUCCUGUCUGGGUGAAGAGGAGACGUGUUACGGCAGAGCAGGUGGGCAAGGCCAGAGCUACCCCAGGCCCAUGUGGCCGCCUCCUUGCUUGGAAGGGGUGACUCUGAGCACAGGUAGACGCAGAUGUGUGCAGAGAAUGUGCUCUUCGGAGGAAGAACACUGAUGAGCGAGCUCUGUACCAGCCCUUGCCAUGUACAGCCAAGAGCCUAGAAUGACAUGGCCCUUCUCAGCAGUAAUAACAGAUGGUCUCAGCGCCUCA